rnacentral:rRNA from 1 species
CUGCUGCCUUCCGUAGGAGUUUGGGCCGUGUCUCAGUCCCAAUGUGGCCGUCCACCCUCUCAGGCCGGCUACUGAUCGUCGCCUUGGUGGGCCCCUACCCCGCCAACAAGCUAAUCAGACGCGGGUCCAUCUUACACCACCGGAGUUUUUCACACCGGGCCAUGCGGCCCUGUGCGCUUAUGCGGUAUUAGCACCUGUUUCCAGGUGUUAUCCCCCUGUGUAAGGCAGGUUACCCACGCGUUACUCACCCGUCCGCCACUCGAA